CACGUAGGCGGCUUUUUAAGUCAGAGGUGAAAUCCCGGGGCUCAACCCCGGAACUGCCUUUGAAACUGGGAAGCUAGAAUCUUGGAGAGGCGAGUGGAAUUCCGAGUGUAGAGGUGAAAUUCGUAGAUAUUCGGAAGAACACCAGUGGCGAAGGCGACUCGCUGGACAAGUAUUGACGCUGAGGUGCGAAAGCGUGGGGAGCAAACA
rnacentral:rRNA from 1 species